rnacentral:rRNA from 1 species
GACGAACGCUGGCGGCGUGCCUAAUACAUGCAAGUUGAGCGCUGAAGGUUGGUACUUGUACCGACUGGAUGAGCAGCGAACGGGUGAGUAACGCGUGGGGAAUCUGCCUUUGAGCGGGGGACAACAUUUGGAAACGAAUGCUAAUACCGCAUAAAAACUUUAAACACAAGUUUUAAGUUUGAAAGAUGCAAUUGCAUCACUCAAAGAUGAUCCCGCGUUGUAUUAGCUAGUUGGUGAGGUAAAGGCUCACCAAGGCGAUGAUACAUAGCCGACCUGAGAGGGUGAUCGCCCACUUGGGGACGGACACCGGCCCAAACCCCCGCCGGGAGGCAGCAGUAGGGAAUCUUCGGCAAGGGACGAAGGUCUGACCGAGCACCGCGGCGGGGUGAAAGAAGUUGUUCGGAUCGAAAAACUUUGUUGGAGGAGAAGAACGUGGGUGAGAGUGGAAAGCUCAUCAAGUGAGGGUAACAACCCAGAAAGGAACGGCUAACUACGU